rnacentral:rRNA from 1 species
UACGGAGGGGGCUAGCGUUGUUCGGAAUUACUGGGCGUAAAGCGCACGUAGGCGGCUUUGCAAGUUAGAGGUGAAAGCCCGGGGCUCAACCCCGGAAUUGCCUUUAAAACUGCAUCGCUAGAAUUGUGGAGAGGUAAGUGGAAUUCCGAGUGUAGAGGUGAAAUUCGUAGAUAUUGGGAAGAACACCGGUGGCGAAGGCGGCGACCUGGUCCUUUUACUGACGCUGAGGCGCGAAAGCGUGGGGAGCAAACAGG